rnacentral:tRNA from 1 species
GGAUUGUGGCUCAGUGGUAGAUCGCUUGCCUAGCAUGUGUGAAGCUCUGGGUUUGAUUCUCAGCACCA